rnacentral:rRNA from 1 species
UACGGUAGGGGGCAAGCGUUUGUCCGGAAAUCAUUGGGCGUAAAGAGCGUGUAGGCGGCCCUGGUGAGUCCGCUGUAGAAACGUCCAGGGCUCAACCCGUGGAAUGCCGGUGGAAACUGUCAGGCGUCGAGUCCGGAAGAGGCGAGUGGAAUUCCUGGUGUAGCGGUGAAAUGCGCAGAUAUCAGGAGGAACACCAAUGGCGAAGGCAGCUCGCUGGGACGGUACUGACGCUGGAGAACGCGGAAAAGCGUGGGGGAGCAAACAGG